rnacentral:rRNA from 1 species
UACGUAGGGUCCAAGCGUUAUCCGGAAUCACUGGGCGUAAAGCGUUCGUAGGCGGGCACUUAAGUGAGCUGUGAAAGCGUGUGGCUCAACCAUAUCGUUGUGUCUCAUACUGGGUACCUGGAGGAAGGCAGAGGCAAGUGGAAUUGGCAGUGUAGCAGUGAAAUGCGUAGAGAUUGCCAGGAACACCAAUGGCGAAGGCAGCUUGCUGGGCCUUUUCUGACGCUGAGGAACGAAAGCGUGGGGAGCGAACAGG